ACACUCCUACGGGAGGCAGCAGUGGGGAAUAUUGCACAAUGGGCGCAAGCCUGAUGCAGCGACGCCGCGUGGGGGAUGAAGGCCUUCGGGUUGUAAACUCCUUUCGCUAGGGACGAAGCUUUUUUGUGACGGUACCUAGAUAAGAAGCACCGGCUAACUACGUGCCAGCAGCCGCGGUAAUACGUAGGGUGCGAGCGUUGUCCGGAAUUACUGGGCGUAAAGGGCUCGUAGGUGGUUUGUCGCGUCGUCUGUGAAAUUCUGGGGCUUAACUCCGGGCGUGCAGGCGAUACGGGCAUAACUUGAGUGCUGUAGGGGUAACUGGAAUUCCUGGUGUAGCGGUGAAAUGCGCAGAUAUCAGGAGGAACACCGAUGGCGAAGGCAGGUUACUGGGCAGUUACUGACGCUGAGGAGCGAAAGCAUGGGUAGCGAACAGGAUUAGAUACCCUAGUAGUCCCA
rnacentral:rRNA from 1 species